CUUUACCCACUCGCCAGACCACGCCCAGCUACUUUCGGCCUUCAUAUCUAGAGAACCAAGCAAGGCACUGGAAAUCCAAGACCACCACUAGAGAGCACUAAUCAAGAUCUAUCAUCAGAUAUAUUAAAAACAUCUGCCGUAAUCGGAUCGCUGGCUAUACCUUUAAUCAUGAUAUUCUUUUAUGUUCAGCUUUUCAAAUCACUCAUUAUUCCUCCCCUCAUAACACAACAUAGACCCCAUGGCUGACCAUGCAUGUUGUCACACAAAAUAAUAGCAUAUAACAAUGGCCACAUGUAGCCUCUAUCCCAGGCCGAGUUUUCGCUUUUAUAACGGGAGCCUAACCGUUAUAAAAGCGAAAACUCGGCCUGGGAUCGAGGCUAUGGCCACAUGACUCUAACGCGAUAGAAUCUUUUUCUUGUUCUUUGUUGCCUCUAAGCACAUGGUUGGGUGAAUUCUUGUGGCUAAUUAAGUCAAAUUCAUUGUGACGGUUCAAUUUAUAAUUAUUUCAUAGUAAUGAAUAAUGAUAAUACUGCUCACAUCCGCUUAUAAUUCUCUGACGGGAAACUACAGUCUCAUUUGGAGUGUGGCCUUAUGAUAACAAUGAAUAUAAAACUAACUCACUCUAAUGGUUGAUGCAUGGGUGGGUGCAUGCAUGCUGCAUUUUGUGCUGAGAAAAUAUUUCCUGAUAGACACAUCAACCAACCUUUUCUCCAAUCAUGCAUGCAUGCAUAUCGCAUUCAUGCAGCCUUGAAACCAGGCGACGCCCAAACUUGCAGGCUCUAAGACUGAUCAGGUAAAAUCCCCUUUCAAGUUGUUGUCAAAGCAAACUUUGUUCUAGAUCUAUAAUAUCUCUAUAUAUGGCAAAGACUAGCUCUAGAUCUCAGUAUAGCCGGAAAACCUGGCAAAUCAACUCAUUGUGGAGAUGUAAUGCAAGUCUAUACAGUAUGUCUAUGAUCAUUGAUGAGUGUCUUGUUCUUUGUACAAGCCUACUUAUUGGAGGGUUGUGGAUAAACCAAGUAUCAGCGCAAUGAUGUACUCCACUUGAGGAGCAGCAUGCCUGCUCCCUCUAACAGCCAGAAACACCCUGGACAGAUACCCUCAGGUGCUUCCUGGUAAUGUUUUAAUAACUUCAAUUGGUAUCACCACUGCAUUCUCUCUCUUACGAGUGCCCCCACCCGACCCUAACUGUGAAACUGCAAUCAAGCACUUAAUAUGCUUGGCAGCUACACCACCUUGCACCAAUGUUACAGAUCUUCUACUGCCAGUUUGCAGUGAUAGUUGCUCGGCGUUUAAUCGUCUAGUUGAAGAAGGGAAGUGCAACUCUAUAUUAGAGUCUUCAGAACAGUUUCUGU